GCUAGCGUUGUCCGGAAUCAUUGGGCGUAAAGCGCGUGUAGGCGGUUCGGUAAGUCCGCUGUGAAAGUCGGGGGCUCAACCCUCGGAUGCCGGUGGAUACUGUCGGACUAGAGUGCGGAAGAGGCGAGUGGAAUUCCUGGUGUAGCGGUGAAAUGCGCAGAUAUCAGGAGGAACACCGAUUGCGAAGGCAGCUCGCUGGGACGUUACUGACGCUGAGGUGCGAAAGCGUGGGGAGCAAACAGG
rnacentral:rRNA from 1 species